AAUGUGGGAACUGUUUACCCUCGGGGGAUCGCCAUAUCCUGGUGUUAGUGUCCAAGAACUCAUUUCGUUGUUGGAGGAUGCAUACCGCAUGCCAAAACCGAACCACGUCUCAGAGAAACUGUAUGCCAUAAUGAUGGAGUGUUGGAACGAACAGCCCCAAAAUAGACCAACAUUCAAGUGGAUUCGUUACGCAGUCAAAAGACUUCAGGAUGACCA